rnacentral:rRNA from 1 species
UACGGAGGGUGCAAGCGUUGUUCGGAAUUAUUGGGCGUAAAGGGCGUGUAGGCGGUUCGUUAAGUCUGAUGUGAAAGCCCCGGGCUCAACCUGGGAAGUGCAUUGGAAACUGGCGAACUUGAGUACGGGAGAGGGCAGUGGAAUUCCUAGUGUAGGAGUGAAAUCCGUAGAUAUUAGGAGGAACACCGGUGGCGAAGGCGGCUGCCUGGACCGAUACUGACGCUGAGACGCGAAAGCGUGGGGAGCAAACAGG